GUCUCCAUUGCUCGGCGAGUAAUUAUGGUUAAACUAGUGGGGUUCUCCUUAAUUGUGUCAGAAUUAGAUGAUUCAUAGAGUCUAUUUCAAGGCAUAUAUAACUAUUUUUAGCCUGAAAAAUGAAAGAUCCAAAAGUGUUGAAUCUAUCAACAGAAUCCGUUAAGCUCUCUCUCAUCUGUCUUUUCUUUUAGUAAAAUUUUCUGUCUUCUCACGACGUCCUGUUUUGUUUAAACUGUUACAAGAUUUCACUUGCUUAGGCUUCCUUUUAGAAUCUAUGUGUUGAUCUUGAUUCUUCUUCUCCAUUAGUUUUU